UAAUUGAGGAUGUGGUUCGCAAAGA
rnacentral:piRNA from 1 species